CGAGGGAAAAUGAGUAAAAUCUUUGGACUGUAAAGCAAAUCUGAGUGUUCCCUGGAUGCAGUGUACAAUUGCUUAGUAUUCUUUUGAUGAGUAACAAGACUUCAUUGCUUUCUCAAGUUAUCACAUAAGCACAAACUGCAAUACAUGAAAAUCCAGCACCAUGCUUCACUAGGAAUAUCACCCUCAUGCAGUCACAUCAUAUACUUUCAAUUGAUUUUGUAGAUUACUAGGGGCAGAGAAGGACAGAAACAGUUAGAAAACAGGAAGAACAUAGACACACAGUGUGCGAAAAUUGCCUCUUGGGCACAGAUGCAAACACAGGAACCGUAAUGAACUUUUUUUUCUUUUUUUCUUUUUUCUUUUUUUUCACAGAACCUCUUUUUUAUGGCUUCUGUAAUGUGCUAUAAAUCUUUGAAAGUGAAGUCAUUCCUAGGAGCACUGGAAAUAUCCAUGCUUUUUAAUAUUUCUGAUUUGCUUGUAUUUCUCAUACAAUUUUAUUGCCUUAAUUAGAUGGGUUCUUUUGUUAAGAGUUAUUUUAUGUACUGCUUGUAUGUUAUACUUCACGGUUUUUAUUUUCUGAUAAAACCUGAAUUUGUUUAAAAUUGCUUAGCUAACCCUAAAAUGAAUUGAUUGUGGCCUGCUCUGAGAAAGGCUGAUUUCUUCUGGAAGAAAGGGGAGGGCAGGGGCAUUAACAAGGAAGGAGGGAGAAAGGGAGGGAGAAAGAGAGGGAGGAAGGGAGGGAGAAAGGGGGAGGAGGGGCGAGGAUAGAAGUGGGGGGAGAGAGGAGGGAGGAAGAGAGGGGGGAAGGGAGUGACGAAGAGGGGGGGGCCAGGAGGGAGGAGGGAAGCGGGGGGGAGGGAGGAGGGAGGUAUCAGGGCGGGGAGAGAGCGGGAGAGAAUGUGAUCAACAAGAAAUUCCUGUGAUCAACAAGAAAUAUUGCAGGAGCAGUCUGUAACUACUAUAAAGAAACUUUAUGGUGACAAAAUGAGGAGUUUGAAAUCCCAGCUGGAAGCUUACCGUGAACUGAUGAACAAGAACAGUACACAUUGGCAAAAUACUGUUAAGAGCCUGAGGGAAAGAAACAGACAACUGAGCCAAGACAAAGAAGAUCUUAUUCACCAAAUGAAGCAACAAACAGAAAAAUGGGAAGAACAAAAGGUCUCCAUUCUAGAAAAUCUGUCAAAAAAAAUAAACCGUCUUUAUACCCAGCACACAUUGACUUUGCAGGGACUUCACACCAUCAGUCUAUAUGUGGAGAGAGUGCGUGACCUCAUGAAUUUCCAGAUAAAAAUUCUUCAACAAAAGUCUGAAAAGACAGAAGAAGAAAAAGCCGAUGUGCCAGUGAUUUUAAAAUUAAAGGCAGAACAAGCAGCUGAUGAAGAGAAGCCUGAAUGUUUAAUGGAAACAGAACCUCUUUGGCAAGCACACACCAUGUUGCAAAAGAUACAGGAAUCUAUACAGAAACAAGAGAGAGAAGUCAGUGAGACCCUAGAAGGUGAAAGAAGAUACUACAAAGCAAUGAAACCUCAAAUCAAGAUGCUAAUAUUCUUGAAAAAUCUUGCCAAGAAGGUUCACACCAUAUAUUGUGAUGUCCCUGAGGCACAACAGUAUAUCAGCCAGCUUAUCAGAAAGAACGAGAAUGAAAGGGCUGAUUGGAAAGAAGCCUUUAAUAAUGCUCAGGCUGACAUUCUGUCCUAUGAAGUAUUUUAUGGAAAUGAACCCAUGGAUGAGAAAAGGACAGAGCUCUCAAUGAAGCUUUUCAGAAAUCUUGGGAAAGCAAAAUCUGAAUUUGAAUACGUUGAAACUGAGAAGAUUGUUUUUGAUUGUAUCCAGACAGGGAAAAUCCCUAACUGGAUUAAAAGGGAUUGUCUUUAUGUAGCCUUGGCAGAUCAUAAAAAUAUAUGUUCUGAGGAGAAAAGUCACCAUGCAGAGGAACUUAUGCGGAAGUUUGAAAUGGAAAUCAAGGUGGCCAACAAAAAAAAGGAACAGUAAGAGACAUGCAAAGAGUAGAACAAGUUUCUCAUUUUAAAGAGGAGCACUGAAUAAAAAGCUUGGAGCACAGAAACA
rnacentral:lncRNA from 1 species